GUGCUGUGAUGAUCUCCUUAUUGGUUUCAUUCAUCACUGAAUUUCUCUGGUGAUACCUCUUGGCUGGCUGAGCAC
rnacentral:snoRNA from 1 species